ACCGGCGGCUCGAGUGGUGGCCACUAUUACUGGGCUUAAAGCGUUCGUAGCUGGCUUGUUAAGUAAAGAGAGAAAAAAGAGGGAGGAAACGGAAGGCGUCUCAGGGAUACUGGCAGGCUAGGGACCGGAAGAGGUGAGAGGUACUCCAGGGGUAGGAGUGAAAUCCUGUAAUCCUUGGGGGACCACCUGUGGCGAAGGCGUCUCACCAGGACGGCUCCGACAGUGAGGAACGAAAGCUGUGGGAGCAAACCG
rnacentral:rRNA from 1 species